rnacentral:rRNA from 1 species
AUUGAACGCUGGCGGCAUGCCUUACACAUGCAAGUCGAACGGCAGCACGGGAGCUUGCUCCUGGUGGCGAGUGGCGAACGGGUGAGUAAUACAUCGGAACGUACCCAGGAGUGGGGGAUAACGUAGCGAAAGUUACGCUAAUACCGCAUAUUCUGUGAGCAGGAAAGCGGGGGAUCGCAAGACCUCGCGCUCUUGGAGCGGCCGAUGUCGGAUUAGCUAGUUGGUGAGGUAAAAGCUCACCAAGGCGACGAUCCGUCGCAGGUCUGAGAGGAUGCUCGGCCACACUGGGACUGAGACACGGCCCAGACGCCUACGGUAGGCAGCAGUGGGUAAUUUUGGACAAUGAGGGCAACCCUGAUCCAGCCAUGCCGCGUGAGUGAAGAAGUCCUUCGGGUUGUAAAGCUCUUUCGGCGGGGAAGAAAUGGCAACGGCUAAUAUCCGUUGUUGAUGACGGUACCCGCAUAAGAAGCACCGGCUAACUACGUGCCAGCAGCCGCCGUAAUAC